AUGACCAUUAUGAUUCCUUAUAUACAACAGAGAAUGGACUGCAUCAGACCAAACUUACUAAGUCUCCCAUGCUCUGCAACAGGAAUUAGCAAUACUGUACGUGGUCUGUCAGAUAUUGUUGCACUGCAAUUCCCACCAUCCAUAGGUAAUACAGUUAAUGAUGAAGAAAGACUGGGCAGCUUGGAGGACAUAUCUCAACACCACCUGAUGAGCAAGCCAUUGUCCACCGUUUCUUUGGACCGUUUAUGGAUCUCUCUGCUUCUUGGAGUAGAUGAAUAUCACCAGGCAAUCCAUAUUUAACUCCUAGGAAAUGAUGGGAUCUUCAGCAUGAUCCUUGAAAUCACCAGUGACAUCAAUAAAGAACUGAGAAGAAAGAAAAAAACA
rnacentral:lncRNA from 1 species